GUGGCCCUGAAUCAAGGCCAGCAGUUUGCUGAAGCUGCUGGUUUCAAACAGGAGCCUAAAGGAAGUCUUUCUAUGGUCUGUUGGCCAUUUCAGAACUUUGGAAAUGUAAUGGUCAAUUCAUUAGAAAGAACCAGCU
ensembl:snoRNA